AAUAGGCUAGAGUCAAGGUUGGGGUUGAAAGUGAAAUUGUAUGUUAUAAAAGAUUUAGGAUUCAUUAUCAGAUUAGUGGGAAGCAGGUUUAUCUCUAAGGGAAAGAUUGUCUCACAGAAUUGCUUAUAAAACUGUGUAUCCAAUGGGUUUUUUUCAGUAUAGGUAAUAUGUUCACCCUUAUGUGAACUCAAAUGGCUAUAUUGGUUAUCAGGUACUGGAGUGGAGAAAUUGACUCAAUAUUGCAGACUCAAAUCAGGAUGAAAGAUGUUUUAUAUGAGGAGAGAAGUAUGUACAUUUUUUUUCUGCCUAUCUAAAAACAAUUAGUGAUGAAAGGCGAGGUAAUAGAGCUCUGAGCAGGCCACUUCAUAUGAGAAAAAUGUUAAUUGAGAUACCAAUCUUGAAUGACUUUUGAGUUUCAUUUUUUGGUUGUGAUAUGCUCUUGGAAGAUAAUGGUAUCUUAGGCUCUAACAUUUGUUGCAUAGCAUGAGAACAAAUUUAGAACUUGAUAGGAAAUUUCCCAAGUCAAUAUAUACUUCAUUAUUCAAUGUUUUCAGUAAGUAGUAGUACCUAUAAUUUAUUUCACUUUGGAACAAAUUGAGAAGGUAGCUGGAAGAUUAUCCAAGAUUAUAUCAUGGCAGUUAGAUCACAGGUUAUAUAAGUUGAAAGAAGAUGAGAUGACUUAACUGUCAGAAAGUUCAGCAUUUAGAAAUUGGAGAGUGGGAUAUAGGUCUUAGAAAAAGGGAAUUAUGAUGACAGUAGAUCAUCAUAAUGGGCUGGGUGAGAGAUCAGGUUUAAGCAAUGAAGACUGGGAGGGGACCACUAUGCAUGAGGUUUAGAGUUGGAGGGAAAGAACUGUAUUCUUUAGAUGUCAGAUCUCUGGGAAGAGCCCCAGGCACUUUAUUCUGCUUCAAGUGAGGAUGAACAAAGGGGAAGAACUCUACCACAAUUUGGGAGUGAUAAAUAAGAGAAGCCAAAACUAAAUUCAGGUAAUUUAUGUCAUGGAAAUUCCUCAUCUUACUAUUCAAGCCUGUUUCAUCUAGUUCUAUUUCCAGUAGAAAUGGAGUUCUGACAGUAAAUGACUGUGGAUAAAUGAAUAUUAACUAUACUGGGGUGUAGGCUUUACAUCCUUCAAUUAUCCCUCCUGGAAGCACUUUGUGGGAUACUUGGGCUGUUUUCUACAGUGACAUUAAAGAAGAUGAUCUGUGGUACCAUCUAACUGUCCACAUUCUCAAAUCCAAUACAAUCCAGUCUCUUCCUUCUACUCAGUUCUGUAGUCAGAUCAUUGUUCAAUAUAUAAAACUCAUCCAAAGUACAUUUGUUUUUCACUGUGCAAAUUAAAUUUAUUUCUAGCUUUUUAUUUUAAAUCUAGUGACCACAAAAAAGCAAAAAUUCCAUAUAAAAAUAGAAUAAAAGGGGAUCAUAUAUGAAACCAAAUCUCUUAUGCAUAUGUUU